rnacentral:rRNA from 1 species
CCUACGGGAGGCAGCAGUGAGGAAUAUUGCGCAAUGGAGGAAACUCUGACGCAGCGACGCCGCGUGGGUGAUGAAGGCCCUCGGGUCGUAAAGCCCUUUUAUGGGGGAAGAGAAAGGACGGUACCCCAUGAAUAAGCCCCGGCUAA